ensembl:lncRNA
AAUUAGUUUACAUCUGCUGCUCAAACUGUUGAGAUCAGACUGAAAUCAUCAGAGAACUUGUUUAAAAUAAACUUCAGCUGACUGUAUCUGGUGUCACACACAUCUUCAGCUUUAACAGAAUAACCAGCAGAGGGCAAUACAGACCGAUCAUACUCUCCUUUAGUUAGAGGAGCCAACCACUUCCUCUGUGAUGCUUUCAGUUUUGUUUUUACUCACAUCUCGGCAAAACGCGCAGUGGUUUACUAAAUUUAAACAGACAGAAUGUAGAACUCCCGCAGAACGUUUACAAUUUCAUGUAACAGCACGGGUCGGUGAAGAAGUGAUGUUUGAUGAUCUGCCGCGUGAUGCUGAGAGCGUUGAGUGUUUAACAAACACCGGCUCGAUAGAUGUGUGGAGGAGAGAGCAGGGUGUCCUGACUGAUCGACUGACUGACAAUGAUGGUCACCUGAUCAUUAAAAACUUCAGAUCAAGUGACGCUGGAACAUACAGAGUCCUGGACUCAACAGGAGGAGUCCUGGUCACCGUGACGCUCACAGAAUGGGGUACAGAAUCAAAGGACAAACAGGACAGCACACGUGAUGACAAAACUGAAGAUGUUUGUAUUGCGGUGCUGGUUCUGGUGGCUCUGAUUGCGUUUACUGUCUUCAUGAUCCAUCGAUGUCUGAACAGGAACAAGGAACAAGGAACAAGGAACAAGGGAUCCCAAUGCAAGAAACUACACAGGGGCCCAGAUCACCAAACAACAGCAGUGGUCACUUGGUGCCUGAUGUUUUUCCUGCUGCUUGACCUGCCUGGUGAGUAUGUGUAACAAAGAAAAAUGAUUUCUAAAAAUAGAUUUGGUGACACUUAUUAAGAUGAAUAAUCACCAUAUCUGUAUCAAUACUGUAGAGUUAUUAAACACUGUUUUUAUUUGUAGGUGCUUCUUCUCUAACAGUGACGGGACAAAAGGGCGGCAAUAUUACCCUGCGGUGUAAUUCCAGCAACAGAGAGGAAUUAUACAUGGUUCUGACUUUUGGGUCCAAAACUGCUUAUGGUACUGGUCAGAGUAAAUAUUAUGAGCACCGUGUGCACAAGAGUGGCAACUGUGAGCUCAUUCUGCAAGACUUGAAGACCACUGAUGCUGGAAAAUAUAACUUUAAAGUUUAUGCCAGCGGUCAACUACUAGGAAGCUACAUUUUUGACAUCUGUGUUAAUGGUAAGGUCAAAACUGAUUUAAAUAUUGAUUUGGGAUUUUUGUUGCUUUUAUUUGGUACCAGUGUUUAUUUCAUAUUACAUGUCAUGCAUCAUCAGUAUUAUGAAAGCGUCAUGUCACAAUUAUGUUUUAUCGUUGUGUUUCUCUUCAGUUAAUUUAACAGCACGGGUCGGUGAAGAAGUGAUGUUUGAUGAUCUGCCGCGUGAUGCUGAGAGCGUUGAGUGUUUAACAAACACCGGCUCGAUAGAUGUGUGGAGGAGAGAGCAGGGUGUCCUGACUGAUCGACUGACUGACAAUGAUGGUCACCUGAUCAUUAAAAACUUCAGAUCAAGUGACGCUGGAACAUACAGAGUCCUGGACUCAACAGGAGGAGUCCUGGUCACCGUGACGCUCACAGGUGAGAGAAGAUUGAUGGAUGUUUAGAAAUAUUAAUUAUAAAGUGGACAGGUGAGGUUUAAUUAUGAUUUGAAUGGCAAAUGUAUACUAAACUGUCAUUAACCUUUCAAUAUCCUCUACAGAAUGGGGUACAGAAUCAAAGGACAAACAGGACAGCACACGUGAUGACAAAACUGAAAGCACUAAAAGAGUUUGUAAGUAAAACAGGAGACAUUGAGAGCUUUAUGAAAUCUUUAAACAGUGAGUUAAAAAAAUAAAAAUUGUGUUUUCUUCCCCCUUCCA